rnacentral:rRNA from 1 species
UAUUGGUCAAUGGGCGGGAGCCUGAACCAGCCAAGUCGCGUGAGGGAAGACGGUCCUACGGAUUGUAAACCUCUUUUGCCGGGGAGCAACGGGGUCCUUGCGAGGGCCCAAUGAGAGUACCCUGAGAAAAAGCAUUUGCUAACUCCGUGCCAGCACCCGCGGUAAUACGGAGGAUGCGAGCGUUAUCCGGAUUUAUUGGGUUUAAAGGGUGCGUAGGCGGGCUGUUAAGUCAGCGGUCAAAUGUCGGGGCUCAACCCCGGCCUGCCGUUGAAACUGGCGGCCUCGAGUGGGCGAGAAGUAUGCGGAAUGCGUGGUGUAGCGGUGAAAUGCAUAGAUAUCACGCAGAACACCGAUUGCGAAGGCAGCAUACCGGCGCCCUACUGACGCUGAGGAACGAAGGCGUGGGUAUCGAACAGG